GGGUGAUUAGCUCAGCUGGGAGAGCACCUCCCUUACAAGGAGGGGGGUCGAUCAGCUCGACUC
rnacentral:tRNA from 1 species